rnacentral:rRNA from 1 species
GACGAACGCUGGCGGCGUGCUUAACACAUGCAAGUCGAACGGAAAGGCCCUGCUUUUGUGGGGUGCUCGAGUGGCGAACGGGUGAGUAACACGUGAGUAACCUGCCCUUUACUUUGGGAUAACUUCAGGAAACUGGGGCUAAUACCGGAUAGUAGCUCCUGCUGCAUGGUGGGGGUUGGAAAGUUUCGGCGGUUGGGGAUGGACUCGCGGCUUAUCAGCUUGUUGGUGGGGUAGUGGCUUACCAAGGCGUUGACGGGUAGCCGGCCUGAGAGGGUGACCGGGCACAUUGGGACUGAGAUACGGCCCAGAGUGCUACGGGAGGCAGAAGUGGGAGAUAUUGCGCAAUGGGCGGAAGCCUGAUGCAGCAACGCCGCGUGCGGGAUGACGGCCGUCGGGUUGUAAACCGCGUUCGCCUGUGACGAAGCGUGAGUGACGGUAAUGGAUAAAGAAGCACCGGCUAACUACGUG